ACUCUUGAAGUCUUAGUGGCGCAGCUAACGCACUAAGUUGACCGCCUGGGGAGUACGGCCGCAAGGUUAAAACUCAAAUGAGUUGACGGGGGCCCGCACAAGCGGUGGAGCAUGUGGUUCAAUUCGACGCAACGCGAAGAACCUUACCUGGCCUUGACAUGCAGCGAACCGUCCAGAGAUGGGUGGGUGCCUUCGGGAACGCUGACACAGGUGCUGCAUGGCCGUCGUCAGCUCGUGUCGUGAGAUGUUGGGUUAAGUCCCGUAACGAGCGCAACCCCUAUCCCUAGUUGCUAGCAGUUCGGCUGAGAACUCUAGGGAGACUGCCGGUGACAAACCGGAGGAAGGUGGGGAUGACGUCAGGUCAUCAUGGCCCUUACGGCCAGGGCUACGCACGUGCUACAAUGGUGCGCACAGAGGGCUGCAAACCCGCGAGGGGGAGCCAAUCUCACAAAACGCAUCGUAGUCCGGAUCGCAGUCUGCAACUCGACUGCGUGAAGUCGGAAUCGCUAGUAAUCGUGAAUCAGAAUGUCACGGUGAAUACGUUCCCGGGCCUUGUACACACCGCCCGUCACACCAUGGGAGUGGAUUGCACCAGAAGGUGGUUAGUCUAACCUUCGGGAGGACGAUCACCANCGGUGUGGUUCAUGACUGGGGUGAAGUCG
rnacentral:rRNA from 1 species